rnacentral:misc_RNA from 1 species
AACGCACAUUGCGCCCAUUAGUAUUCUAGUGGGCAUGCCUGUUCGAGCGUCAUUUCAACCCCUAAGCACAGCUUAUUGUUGGGCGUCUACGUCUGUAGUGCCUCAAAGACAUUGGCGGAGCGGCAGCAGUCCUCUGAGCGUAGUAAUUCUUUAUCUCGCUUUUGUUAGGCGCUGCCCCCCCGGCCGUAAAACCCCCCAUUUUUUCUGGUUGACCUCGGAUCAGGUAGGAAUACCCGCUGAACUUAA